UCAGAGGGGUAGAGAAGACCAGAGAGAAGAGACCUGAAAGGUGGUCUUCCUCUGCAUCUCUCUCUAGGAAUACUCAAGCUUUAUAGAUUUUAGAGAGAGAAAGAGGAGGUACUUCUCUCAGAAGCUGCACUGAAUUUAGCAAAAAAUAAUACUCCUCCUACUUGCUCCAUUGCUUCUACUUCACUCCCUCCCAGCUUUGCACAAAACUGUCUCUCCCCCCCCCCCCCCCCUUCUCUCUCUCUCUCUCUCUCUCUCUCUCUCAAUAUCUCCAAUCUUUCCUGGUUUCCUAAAAAGAGUCAAGAAAACCCUUUUCUCUAUUACCUCAGUCUUCCUCUGCUUUGGCAAUCCUCCUUUAAAUCAGCUAAAACAAAAUCACCAACCAUUCAAUUUAGCAAAAGUAAGAGAAUCUGAACAAAACCCUGUUGCAGACUUUCCCGGAAGAUGGAGAAUUUUUCCGGGAAAAAGCGACCCACAAUCAGUAUCUCACUUUUCACUACUUUUUCCGAGUCAAUUUCCUCUGACAAGUUCCCCAAGUCAAUCAAAUCCCCAAGAAAUUUCCAAGAUGGGGUUGUUGGGCUUGGAAUAGUGGCUGCCAUGACUGAUUUGGGCAGCCCCAAUGAAGUGGCUUUGUCUGAAAAGUCACCAAGGUCGAGCCCAAUCCCCAUAGUCUCUGCAGCUAAGCCUGCAGCUAAUUUCAGAAGUGGGUUUUGUGUGGAGAGGGCUGGGGCUGUGGUGGAUGAAUUGUCUGAGAGCUAUACGUGUGUGAUUUCGCAUUUCGGAAACAAUUUGACAUCGAAGCGGGUUUAUCGGUGAUAAGCUGAGUGGGGUUGUGGAUGAUCCUAAUGCUGGUAUGGUGGUGGCCUCUGGGGUGUUCUCUACUUCUCCAUUGAGUAUUGGUGAAGUGGGAAGAGAGUUUUGGGCUUCCGAUUUUCUCAGUUGUUGUUAUCUUUGCAAGAAGCAGCUUCAUGGACUGGACAUUUUCAUGUACAGAGGUGAGAAAGCAUUUUGCAGCGCCGAGUGCCGUGACAAGCACAUGCGCAGCGACCAUCAUAAAGACAAGUGCAGAUCCGGAGCAUUAAAAUCGCUUGAUUACUCAGCGUCGCCGUGCUCUCGUCCGCUCGUCUUCUUGGCCGGGGUUGAGGUGGCAUGAAAGUUUUCCUAUACCGAACCUAUAUAGUAAAUAAUACAAAAAGGACGGGAAAGGUGAUGGGAAUAAAUUGGGUAUAACCGGGAUAAGACGGUAGAAAAAUACCGGACAGGGUUCAAGCAGGCAGUCUCUACAGUCUACAAUUUAAAUUGCAAGAAUUUUUUUUAUUAGAUUGGACAAGUUGUAUUGAGAAAUUGGCAAGUUAUAUAAUCCGUGGGAGAGACAUUUAUACAAUAAUGUUACUGCUUUUCAAAAGUUUCAGUUGUACAAUGGUAAUUUGGAUUGGAUCAAGUUAGUUAUAAUAUUUA